rnacentral:rRNA from 1 species
UGACGAAGCGACGCCGCGUGUGGGAAGAAGGCCUUCGGGUUGUAAACCACUGUCGGGAGUUAAGAAAUGUAAGGGUGUUAAUAGCGCCUUUACUUGACAAAGGCUCCGGAGGAAGCCACGGCUAACUCUGUGCCAGCAGCCGCGGUAAUACAGAGGCGGCAAGCGUUGUUCGGAAUUAUUGGGCGUAAAGAGCACGUAGGCGGCUUUGCAAGUCAGUUGUGAAAGCCUUCCGCUUAACGGAAGAACAGCAGCUGAUACUACAGAGCUUGAGUACGGGAGGGGAGAGUGGAACUUCUGGUGGAGCGGUGAAAUGCGUAGAUAUCAGAAGGAACGCCGGCGGCGAAAGCGAUUCUCUGGUCCGAAACUGACGCUGAGUGUGCGAAAGCUAGGGGAUCAAACGGGAUUAGAUACCCCGGUAGUCCUAGCCGUAAACGAU